CAGGAUCGAAUGUCACAUCUUUACUAUAUAAUCGGAGUUCUGUACAAAAUAAAUAAAUAAUUACAUUAUAAGGAGACAAUGGUCCAGCAACCCAAAGUUGACUGGGAGACGACGACCUAGACCUCUCACGAACAGCAUCCUCCAUGCGCCUCAUCCUGUGGUACCUGUUCUUGACCUGUGGGGGGGGGUGUGAGACAGCAAGAGUGAGCUCACAUACGUUCAUCGCUCAACAAGUUGUGGGGAAUAAUGUGCAUGAACUCACCAAAGGUGGGAGCUCAUGUGAAGUGUAAGGCUUACCAAAGAGGAUGGUUAGAGCUGAGCAUUGCUUUUAAAGUUGGUCAAAAUUUUAUUAGCAAUUACUAAGUAUAAGUAAAUACCAACCCAAUUAAAUAGUAGAACAGAAGUAACAACAUCACCUGCGAUGCAAUGCAUAUGACAAAUUGAAUUUAAGUUCCAUAAAUUAAUCAUGUGAGGGUCCGAGCUGCUCAUGACCGUGAGCACGGCUAGUAUACCAGUUUUACACUCUGCAGAGGUUGCGCAUCUUUACCCACAAGUCAUGUUACCCAUCUGCCAAGGGAUCGCGACUUCCCAUACACCUCUACCGAGGAGGCGAGGCAGGGUAACACUACGAGGCCUUUACAAAGUUCCACUAGCUUCAGAAAACCCGCUACAGUUUAUAGGAAGCUCCAAUGCAGGAAUCCCUUGCAGGACCGCCAUCGCAGCAAAAUCCUCCCGAGGGCCUCCCUACACUGACCACUCCCCUACUGCCCUUGCCCCUUUCGGGUAAGGUAGUCCUCCACUAGCUUUCCUAAUUAAUUAGCCAAGGGCGUCCCAUUAAACCCUUGUGGUAGCACUGUUUUCCCGGGUGGUCGCUCCAUGUUCCAAUUAACAUAAUGAUCUUAUCAUGAACAGUGAUAAUAAACAGAUAAUAAAAGUGUGAUCAUGAAUAAUGUAUCUUCAUACCCAAAACCACAUAAAGCACUAGCAAGUACUACCCAAAAAGUUUAGUGGUAAACAAGGUAUAAAGAUAAUCAGACUAGGGUAACCUAUUGGGUCCCAUCAAAAUUAACCUAUGCAGAUCAUUAUGAUUAAUCAGAACAUGAGUGGGUAAAAAGAAGUGAUCAAGGGCACAACUUGCCUGAGACUUGAGAUUCCAGGUACCAGGAUGAUCUUCAGAUGACACGUGACCUCACUGCUAGUCGUAGUAAUACAAACAAACAGUAUAUAGACAAGAUUAACAUUACACCAAACAUAAGUACAAACUGAAUAAUAAUGAUCUACGCGUCAUAACGAGAUCGUGGGAACAAGAAUUACUAAAUUCGGAGUUACAGUUAGAAAGUUAUGAUUUUAUGGAGUUAUUGAGUACCUAGAAUAGAUUAAUUCGAAUGGGCAAUUUUAAUUCAAGUUUCAUGGCUAAAUAGUGUUACUGGUUGGUAGACAAUAUUAAAAUAAAAUUAUUGCAACUGGAAUGACUCAAUUUGAAGUUAAAAUGAGAAAGUUAUGAAUUUCUAAUGAUUUUAUGUGUUUUGUACAAGAUUAAAUAGAAUAUAGAUUUUAAUGUGACCUUCAUGUCAAAACUAUGUGAUAAAUAAUAAUAUUAUAGAAUUAUAAAAAUCAGAAUGAACUAAUUUGGACUUAAUAUGAAUUUCUUAUGGAUUAAACAAGUUUCUGUAUUUAUUUUUAUAUUAAAAAUCUAUUUUCUAAUCUAUUUUUCCUGUUUUACUGAUCUCAGGACUGGGCGCCAAUAAUAGAGAAACACAUGGACUAAUGUAUAAACAUAUCCCAGACACAGAUUCAACCCGCGGUGGACGGCGGGUUGAAUAGAUGAAACCCCAGGGUCUCUUUUAGAAAGUGCGCGCAGCGAAGGGGUAUCUUCUUAUCUGGGCCGUCAGAUCGUGAAUCCAAGGUUCAGAUUAGAAGUCCUCACAUCUGAAACGGCAUGCAGUGUGUGUCGUCCGAUCAAUAACCAACGCCUAGGAUUUAAAACACUCGGGUUGAUUUCGGCGCGCCCAAUCCAGAUCGAACGGCGCAAAUCCACCCCACCGAACCGGUAUCGCCCAUUUAAUCCUAGCCGCAAGAUCAUCGAUCCACGGUCGAAAAGCCCCCCUACCUAUCCUUCUAAUCUUACCCGUACAUGGCCCGAUCAACGGCCCUCACAUCGUCGUCCUCAUGACGCCCCGUCGCGGUGACAAUAGUACCGGCGCGGCGGCGCCAUGGCUUCAACAUGGGGAUACGACAUCUCGAUGCGCUAGAACAACCCCGCCAGACUCUACGCAAAGCCAAGAGGAUGACGAAGAAUAUGGGAAAAACCUUACCGAACAGGGUGGCGAAGAGAGUCUGGUCCACGUUGAUAGGCGGAUCCGCAGCAGGUCGUAUGCUCCAGCGAACCCCAGGGGUCACCCCCCUUGCCCUGAAUCCAUGGCCACCCUCGCCGCACCCCGAUGAAGCACUCGAACCCAUCGCCCAGACCCAGGUGCUGGUAUGCUUGCAAGGCCACCACGACGAAAAUCUCUCUUCCUCUCUCUACUGUUUUUUUGUUCUUCCACGGGUGCGCUUGGUUCAUCGGUGCCGGGCUGCCGGCUUAGGAUGGAGAAAGCAGGGAUAGCGGCGUAAAUAUAUAUCUCGGGGCGUGGCUAGCAGGCGCGAGUGCGCGAGGUCAAGCCCGUGUCUCCCGGCGGCUGGUGAGGGAUUCGGUUGGGCAGUUGUUGGAGAUCUACGGUGCCCAGCUUCUGUAUCCGCCGCGAGGCUUGGAGUCUGUUGCGCUGUCCACGCGAGGACGACGGAAUCCAGUUGAGACGAGUUCAUGGCUAUUCUAUUCUAACGACGCGAGGGGAGGACGAGUGGUCCAUGCGUCAGCCAUCUCGACUCCAUGAUCGCGCAUGAGGCUGUUCCGUGGCCUGCUGUUUGCGACUUGCUUGCAUGCUUAUGUCAUAGCAUAUGUCAUGAUGACCUCAUUUGCGGCAAGAGAAUAAAAUAAUAGUAAAUAUACUAGUUAGAGUGGGCGUGGGGAACAUGGGCUGGCUGGUGCCUUGCUCCCGGCCCGACCAAUUAAGUGCUUCUUUUUUUUCCUGUUUUUUUUUCUAUUUAUAUUUUGAUUCAAAUUCAAUUCUAUGUUGAACUUUUAAUUAAAGUACAAAAGGUAACAAAAAAAACCCAGCAUGAGAUGCAAUAUAUUUAUAUUAUAUAUUUAUUAAUUAGUCUUAUCAAUUUAGGUAAGGGCUUUAAAUAUGUAGUGCACACACAGAACUUAUUUUGAAAACAUUACUUUGAUGUUAUUUAAGAUUUCAUAUUUAUUACUUAUACUUAUUUAAUUUAUAACAAAAUAAUGUUCGAUCUUUAUCAGGAAUUACUUUAUAUUAAAUAAAAAGAGUGUUUCCAUUUAUCUAGUUCAUGAAGGAAAUAACUCAUUCUAAAAAAAUGAAAGUCUUUCUAUUUUUUUGUGUGGAGAGUUUCAAAUUGGAUCCUAGUUUUAUGGUUUUUUUGAUUUAAUUUACUAACAUUUUAAUAUUACAUAUUUAUUUGUUUAUUUAUUUCAUUAUUAUUAUUUUUUUUCUUCUACCAAUUUUUUGGCUUUACAAAUCCUACCCCCUUAAAAAGAAUCUCGUCCUCGAGAUUUGUAAGAAAGAGGUUGCAAUAAGUUUGUUUUGUAGUCUAUGUUUCAGUUUUCAUGUGGUUUUAAUUCCAAAUGAUUUUUUUAUAACACAAAUUAGAAGAUGAUUAGGAAAGCAUGGGUAUGUAUAUCUAUUUUAUGGUAUAUGGUGAAAGAUGUUUUUAAAGCAUAGAGGGGUUUGGGUAAGAAAGAGUAUGUAAGAAAAGACUCCAUCAUAGAUAGUGGAUCUUGAUUCAUCUGGCGAUCCAGCCUGGUCCUUGAAGACUUGAGUGGUUGUCUAUCCUUCUUUGACGUGGUUGGUCUUCUUUGGCCUUUCUUCUUGGAGUUGCCAUCCGAGUUAAGGACAUAUAGUUAGGAUAGUCGGGGUACACGAGGUGGAUAGGUUUGAACAAAGUCUUUACUUUGCUUUUUGAACAAAUGGAUUAGGCAACCUUUGAUGUAGGUUAGGUUGUUGUUUACGGGCGAGUUAGUCAAGGUAUUAAUUUAGGGUAAGAUAUGUUUAUAGAAUUAUGGCCUAACUCUUUUUUUUGUCGCCAACGUUAUCUAACUUAUUUAAGUAACUCAAUUUGGAUUAGAUCAUGUUAGAUUAGGUAGGAUCUAGAUCAAAUUGGAAUAAGAUAAAAUCUUUUCAAGAUAAGAUAAAUCUAUUAAGAUAAGAGAGAAUCUUUUAAGAUGAGAUGGAUCUAUUAGACUUGAUAUAUUUUUGUGGGGGAUAUUCUAAGUUGGCUAGUUAUUUUAUCAACAUUUUUUUGCUAUAUUUAUAUACAGAUGUAAUUGUGGACAUUACUCCACAACUCAUCACACUCAAUCAAAGAUCCAAAUCAGACAAGUAUCAUAAGAACAAACAUUGAAGUAUACAAAUAAAAAAAUAGUUUUGUUUUUUCCCUAAUAUUAGGUCUCCUAUUCCUAAAGGUCACUUUAGGUACAUGAUUUCAAAGUGUGAAAUCCACAUUUGUCUUUAGAAUGAAAAGGUAAGAAUAAUCAGAGUAAGCGGAAAUAGAUGAAAAAGAUUAAGAGAAGUUUAGAAAAGAAUCAGAGUAGGAAAGGUAAGUAGAUAAUGGUUGUCCAGUUCUAUCUAGGUUUCGUCCUACAGUCAACAUUCCUCUGAUACCACUUCUGUCACACCCGGGUUUUAGGGGCACCAAGACCCGGGCGCGAACAUAAACACCAGAUAUGCUGGGACCAAGUCUCACACAUAUGAUGUAUAGUGGCACAGGAUCGAAUGUCACAUCUUUACUAUAUAAUCGGAGUUCUGUACAAAAUAAAUAAAUAAUUACAUUAUAAGGAGACAAUGGUCCAGCAACCCAAAGUUGACUGGGAGACGACGACCUAGACCUCUCACGAACAGCAUCCUCCAUGCGCCUCAUCCUGUGGUACCUGUUCUUGACCUGUGGGGGGGUGUGAGACAGCAAGAGUGAGCUCACAUACGUUCAUCGCUCAACAAGUUGUGGGGAAUAAUGUGCAUGAACUCGCCAAAGGUGGGAGCUCAUGUGAAGUGUAAGGCUUACCAAAGAGGAUGGUUAGAGCUGAGCAUUGCUUUUAAAGUUGGUCAAAAUUUUAUUAGCAAUUACUAAGUAUAAGUAAAUACCAACCCAAUUAAAUAGUAGAACAGAAGUAACAACAUCACCUGCGAUGCAAUGCAUAUGACAAAUUGAAUUUAAGUUCCAUAAAUUAAUCAUGUGAGGGUCCGAGCUGCUCAUGACCGUGAGCACGGCUAGUAUACCAGUUUUACACUCUGCAGAGGUUGCGCAUCUUUACCCACAAGUCAUGUUACCCAUCUGCCAAGGGAUCGCGACUUCCCAUACACCUCUACCGAGGAGGCGAGGCAGGGUAACACUACGAGGCCUUUACAAAGUUCCACUAGCUUCAGAAAACCCGCUACAGUUUAUAGGAAGCUCCAAUGCAGGAAUCCCUUGCAGGACCGCCAUCGCAGCAAAAUCCUCCCGAGGGCCUCCCUACACUAACCACUCCCCUACUGCCCUUGCCCCUUUCGGGUAAGGUAGUCCUCCACUAGCUUUCCUAAUUAAUUAGCCAAGGGCGUCCCAUUAAACCCUUGUGGUAGCACUGUUUUCCCGGGUGGUCGCUCCAUGUUCCAAUUAACAUAAUGAUCUUAUCAUGAACAGUGAUAAUAAACAGAUAAUAAAAGUGUGAUCAUGAAUAAUGUAUCUUCAUACCCAAAACCACAUAAAGCACUAGCAAGUACUACCCAAAAAGUUUAGUGGUAAACAAGGUAUAAAGAUAAUCAGACUAGGGUAACCUAUUGGGUCCCAUCAAAAUUAACCUAUGCAGAUCAUUAUGAUUAAUCAGAACAUGAGUGGGUAAAAAGAAGUGAUCAAGGGCACAACUUGCCUGAGACUUGAGAUUCCAGGUACCAGGAUGAUCUUCAGAUGACACGUGACCUCACUGCUAGUCGUAGUAAUACAAACAAACAGUAUAUAGACAAGAUUAACAUUACACCAAACAUAAGUACAAACUGAAUAAUAAUGAUCUACGCGUCAUAACGAGAUCGUGGGAACAAGAAUUACUAAAUUCGGAGUUACAGUUAGAAAGUUAUGAUUUUAUGGAGUUAUUGAGUACCUAGAAUAGAUUAAUUCGAAUGGGCAAUUUUAAUUCAAGUUUCAUGGCUAAAUAGUGUUACUGGUUGGUAGACAAUAUUAAAAUAAAAUUAUUGCAACUGGAAUGACUCAAUUUGAAGUUAAAAUGAGAAAGUUAUGAAUUUCUAAUGAUUUUAUGUGUUUUGUACAAGAUUAAAUAGAAUAUAGAUUUUAAUGUGACCUUCAUGUCAAAACUAUGUGAUAAAUAAUAAUAUUAUAGAAUUAUAAAAAUCAGAAUGAACUAAUUUGGACUUAAUAUGAAUUUCUUAUGGAUUAAACAAGUUUCUGUAUUUAUUUUUAUAUUAAAAAUCUAUUUUCUAAUCUAUUUUUCCUGUUUUACUGAUCUCAGGACUGGGCGCCAAUAAUAGAGAAACACAUGGACUAAUGUAUAAACAUAUCCCAGACACAGAUUCAACCCGCGGUGGACGGCGGGUUGAAUAGAUGAAACCCCAGGGUCUCUUUUAGAAAGUGCGCGCAGCGAAGGGGUAUCUUCUUAUCUGGGCCGUCAGAUCGUGAAUCCAAGGUUCAGAUUAGAAGUCCUCACAUCUGAAACGGCAUGCAGUGUGUGUCGUCCGAUCAAUAACCAACGCCUAGGAUUUAAAACACUCGGGUUGAUUUCGGCGCGCCCAAUCCAGAUCGAACGGCGCAAAUCCACCCCACCGAACCGGUAUCGCCCAUUUAAUCCUAGCCGCAAGAUCAUCGAUCCACGGUCGAAAAGCCCCCCUACCUAUCCUUCUAAUCUUACCCGUACAUGGCCCGAUCAACGGCCCUCACAUCGUCGUCCUCAUGACGCCCCGUCGCGGUGACAAUAGUACCGGCGCGGCGGCGCCAUGGCUUCAACAUGGGGAUACGGCAUCUCGAUGCGCUAGAACAACCCCGCCAGACUCUACGCAAAGCCAAGAGGAUGACGAAGAAUAUGGGAAAAACCUUACCGAACAGGGUGGCGAAGAGAGUCUGGUCCACGUUGAUAGGCGGAUCCGCAGCAGGUCGUAUGCUCCAGCGAACCCCAGGGGUCACCCCCCCCUUGCCCUGAAUCCAUGGCCACCCUCGCCGCACCCCGGUGAAGCACUCGAACCCAUCGCCCAGACCCAGGUGCUGGUAUGCUUGCAAGGCCACCACGACGAAAAUCUCUCUUCCUCUCUCUACUGUUUUUUUGUUCUUCCACGGGUGCGCUUGGUUCAUCGGUGCCGGGCUGCCGGCUUAGGAUGGAGAAAGCAGGGAUAGCGGCGUAAAUAUAUAUCUCGG
rnacentral:lncRNA from 1 species